AACUAAGUUUGUUCUGGCUAUAAGUUUUCAUGUGCAUGCACACUUCUUCAGAUACCAAGAUACCUCAGAUACUUCAGGUAUCUGAAGAAGUUUGCAUGCACAUGAAAGCUUAUACCCGGAACAAACUUAGUUGG
rnacentral:miRNA from 1 species